CGGGCCGUAGGGCGGAGGCAGGUCCGCGGGCCUCUGGGGCUCGGUGGGUACGGGGGGCAUCGCCGGGUGUUCCUCACGCUCUCGGGGCCGU
rnacentral:tRNA from 1 species